CCUGCACCGGACUGCAAUCUAUCAGAGCAACUUUAAAUUCACAACAGCCUUUUCUUUGGGUUCUUUUUGAUGGUUGACAUUUUUCUGUUCUAUUUGCUAAAGGAUUUUCUUGUUUUUAUAUUGUAAAACUGCAUCCGAGCUUCCUGGCGUGCCGUGCCCUACCCCUGGAAAGUGGGCUUGCUUUUGAAUGAAUGCACUCUUGCCACUUCCAGACUCAUAAUCCAUGGUACAGUUGGGAAGUGACUUGUGGGUACCAGUGCGUGUCGGGUCCACUUCCAGACCCCGCAGCCGGUCAAUGUACUCCCAGCCGGACGUCUAGUUCUCCAGGUCCAGAUCGACCGCGGUCCCAAAGAAAACAUCUCCAUGAUAACCUGGUAGCGGGAGCCAGAGAAUGCAAAAACCCCCGGGAAUCCUGGGAAAAUGACGUUGAUUACGUACCCCGGUCAAGAAAAACGCUUGGACGGGCGUCUGAGUCUGAAGCAGCAGGGGUCAAUACUGAAGCUGGAGGGCUUUGGCGUCUUCGGACAGCAGAGUGUAAAUCGUGACCGUCACUGACCAGGCUGGCGUCAAGACCUCUGCACAGUGUAUCGUCAAAGGCUGUGCACCACCCCUCAGUGAGAGUGAACGUGUCCCACUCCUCCCUGUUCUGUGUGGAGACCUGGGGGACAGACCUUAAAUUCAGCCGGCUCCACGAGCGGGCAGACAUCACCGAUGCUGUGGGACACAUGUCGCCUGAUGGGAAGACCCUGUUCAUCUCCUCCUCACCCAUCUGUGCUCACUUCACCUGCAUGGUGAGCAACAAGCUGGGCCACAGCUCUGCCACCUACACAGCAGGUAUGGAAACCCACACACUAACUAACCCCAUCUGUCUCUCAGUCUCUACACAAACUGUCUUCCAUCUGUCUCUCAUGCC